rnacentral:rRNA from 1 species
AACGAACGCUGGCGGCAGGCCUAACACAUGCAAGUCGAACGCUGUAGCAAUACAGAGUGGCAGACGGGUGAGUAACGCGUGGGAACAUGCCCUUCGGUUCGGAAUAACUCAGGGAAACUUGAGCUAAUACCGGAUACGCCCUUAGGGGGAAAGAUUUAUUGCCGAAGGAUUGGCCCGCGUCCGAUUAGCUAGUUGGUGAGGUAAUAGCUCACCAAGGCGACGAUCGGUAGCUGGUCUGAGAGGAUGAUCAGCCACACUGGGACUGAGACACGGCCCAGACUCCUACGGGAGGCAGCAGUGGGGAAUAUUGGACAAUGGGCGCAAGCCUGAUCCAGCCAUGCCGCGUGAGUGAUGAAGGCCCUAGGGUUGUAAAGCUCUUUCGCCAGGGACGAUAAUGACGGUACCUGGAUAAGAAGCCCCGGCUAACUUCGUGCCAGCAGCCGCCGUAAAAC